rnacentral:rRNA from 1 species
AUGGUAAUAGAAUCAUUUCCGCCGAAUGUGUCGUUCAGAAGAGAUUUAAUUGGACCCAGACUCCAAUCAUGGAAUAUCCUGCUACAACGCUUGUCCAUGGUGCGAUUGUCACCUGGGUCUGAUGUAUUUCGAUGGAUUAUCCAUGGGAAUGGACAAUUCUCAGUGGAGUCUAUGUAUAGAGUGCUAAUCCAAUCUGAUGUGCCAGUUGAUAAUAAUAAGAAGAUCUAGAAGAUGAAGAUACCUCUUAAGAAUAAAAUCUUUGCAUGGUAUCUUCGUCGCGGAGUCAUUCUUACUAAAGAUAACCUUAUUAAGAGGAAUUGGCAUGGAAGUUCACAAUGUGUCUUUUGUCACCAUGAUGAGACAAUAAAACAUUUAUUCUUUCAAUGCAAAUUGGCUCGUUCUAUAUGGUCAGUCAUCCAAAUAGCUUCCGGCUUCUAUCCUCCCUGUAGUGUUGCUAAUGUAUUUGGCAACUGGUUACAUGGGAUUGAUCACAUGUUUAGAACUCUUCUCAGGGUGGGAGCGCUUGCCAUUAUUUGA